CAUCUUGUACACAUGUUAUAAUAUAGGUGGACGACAACGUUAAUUUUCCUCCCUUUUAGAGAAUAGUAUCAAUAAAUAUCCACUUAUAUUAUAUCACGUGUACAAGAUG
rnacentral:miRNA from 1 species